UACGAAGGGGGCUAGCGUUGUUCGGAUUUACUGGGCGUAAAGCGCACGUAGGCGGAUCGUUAAGUCGGGGGUGAAAUCCUGGAGCUCAACUCCAGAACUGCCUUCGAUACUGGCGAUCUUGAGUCCGGAAGAGGUGAGUGGAACUCCUAGUGUAGAGGUGGAAUUCGUAGAUAUUCGCAAGAACACCAGUGGCGAAGGCGGCCAACUGGUCCGGAACUGACGCUGAGGUGCGAAAGCGUGGGGAGCAAACAGG
rnacentral:rRNA from 1 species